AACGAACGCUGGCGGCAGGCUUAACACAUGCAAGUCGAACGCGUGUAGCAAUACACGAGUGGCGCACGGGUGAGUAACACGUGGAUAUCUGCCUUUUGGUUCGGGAUAACCCUGGGAAACUAGGGCUAAUACCGAAUGGUUCCUACGGGAUAAAGAUUUAUCGCCAAAAGAUGAGUCCGCGUCCGAUUAGCUAGUUGGUGAGGUAACGGCUCACCAAGGCGACGAUCGGUAGCUGGUCUGAGAGGACGAUCAGCCACACUGGGACUGAGACACGGCCCAGACUCCUACGGGAGGCAGCAGUGGGGAAUAUUGGACAAUGGGGGCAACCCUGAUCCAGCCAUGCCGCGUGAGUGAUGAAGGCCUUCGGGUUGUAAAGCUCUUUUGGCGGGGACGAUGAUGACGGUACCCGCAGAAUAAGCCCCGGCUAACUUCGUGCCAGCCGCCGCGGUAAAAC
rnacentral:rRNA from 1 species